rnacentral:rRNA from 1 species
GCGCAGCAGGCGAGAAUUUUUCUCAAUGGGGGCAACCCUGAAGGAGCGACGCCGCGUGGAGGAUGAAGGCUUUCGGGUUGUAAACUCCUGUCAUUUGAGAACAAGUGUAGCCAAGUAACUACUGGCUACUUGAUAGUAUCAGAAGAGGAAGGGACGGCUAACUCUGUGCCAGCAGCCGCGGUAAUACAGAGGUCCCAAGCGUUGUUCGGAUUCAUUGGGCGUAAAGGGUGCGUAGGUGGCGCCGUAAGUGGGGUGUGAAAUUUCGGAGCUUAACUCCGAAACUGCAUUCCAUACUGCGGUGCUUGAGGACUGGAGAGGAGACUGGAAUUCAUGGUGUAGCAGUGAAAUGCGUAGAGAUCAUGAGGAAGACCAGUGGCGAAGGCGGGUCUCUGGACAGUUCCUGACACUGAGGCACGAAGGCCAGGGGAGCGAACGGGAUUAGAUACCCCGGUAGU